rfam:Thermacetogenium phaeum DSM 12270, complete genome.
UCGUGCUAGAUGGGGAGGUAGCGGUUCCCUGUUGCCCGCAGUCCGCUAGAGCGGGGUCGAAUCCCUGCCCGAGGGUUAGCCUUGUGGGGCUGCCCGGUGUAAGUGGUGAAGACGUUUGGGUCCCGCGCAGCAGGAACCCAUGAACCCCGUCAGGUCCGGAAGGAAGCAGCGGUAAGUGGUGCUUUCCUGGGUGCCGCGGGGGUGCCUGAACCGAGCUAACUGCACCGGUACCGCCCGGAAGGUGUAAUUCGGAGGCAGGUGCACGG